CCUAAGUUUUGAUCAUAACCACGAUCACCCAUCUUCAGCCCUUUCUCCAAUUAGCAAACUUCUCAAAACAUCAAAGCUCACCUCACCUCCCCACCAGCGAAUUUAUCCAGCUUCACCUAAUUCCUUCUCUUAGCUGAGCCUGGAAGAUUGGCUUUGAUGGAACGCAUGAUGGGAUCCUGGGUUCUCCUUCCCAAAAACCAUGUCUCGAUGGAUUGCAUGCAUACUAGCUAAAGACAUAAAUGGAGUCAAGCUAAUCAUGUUCGCAAGUAAUUCUAUAUCGAUCCUUUUCUGCUGCGAGCUCCAGAUGAUAAAAGUUAUUGACGGGACCAUGCAGGAACGCAUAUCUAUCACAAUUCAAAAGGCAUUUUUAAUUUCCAAGCAAAGUGGAGCUUAAGAUGAAAGGUGCAUGGUUAGUGGUUACUCUCGAUCGGUCGAAGUGAUGUGAUAUAUUCAAAAGAGCCACAUGCUGAUCCAGAAAGUACGGCCUUUUGGCCUUUCUUAUCAACAAGCUGCUGCUACUGCUAGCAAGCGAAGCGAAUUAAGACUCGUACCCACCUCUCUCACUUCCCUGUUAAUUCCUAAAAGUCAAAAAAUAUGGCCCGACCCCUGAUCGUCAACGUUCUCCGACUUUGACAAACCUACUGGAGUACUGUUCAAAGUUCCAACCAAAGGAGUGCUCUAUAAUUUUCUCGAUCUACGCAUGAUCAUCAUCAUGAGUGGCCGCGUUGGUGGGCGAUUUUUGUUGACAGAAGAUAGAGAGCACAACAGAACAUGCCCAAGGGAGGAUUGUGUAUGAGCUGUUUGUGCUCUGUGUCUUCUGUCAGCAGAGUUUUGGUCUGGCCAGAUCAAUCCCUGUUCAAGGUACGUAACAACAUAAUAUAUAUAGAUUUUAUAGCAUGACGGCCGUAACGACAUAAUAUAUCGAUCGGCCCUGGCUGGCUGGAUGUUUCUGUUAUAGAGAUUUUAGGUCUUGCAUCCUAACUCCUAAGGUAAGAUAUACAUACAUAUUAUUAUUAUUAUUAUUAUUAUUAUUAUUAUUAUUAUAUAUACGAAUAUAUAAUAAUAUAUAUCAUGUGAUCUAUGCAUAUAAUUAAUUACGUUGGAAAUUAUAAAACUUUGCUUUAAUUUCUUAAUUAAUUAUGUCUCAGAUCAAUUAAUUAUUCGAUUCUAUUUUUUAUACAUGCAUUAAAACUCACUUCUAGUUGGCAAUUCAUAACAUGAUUUGAAUUUUAUAAAUUUAGGUCGCAAGUUGUAUUAUUAUUUAAAUACAAAUUUUUAAUUUUUAAAUAUAAUUUUUUUUUUUUUUUAAAUUUUCAUGGAAUUCCAACAACUACCUCUUUAAUUUAUCUCAUAAAUUGAUGAUGUUUGAAAAUAUUCAAGCCAUCAAUUUUUGGGAUUAAUAAUGGAAUAUUAAUCCUACAUUAAGGCUAAGAAGGCUAUUGUAAUUUUAAGAUAUCUCGAUAUGGAAAAUACUUUAGUUAUAAAUGAAUUAUACAAAAGUAAAUUUAUAAACUGAUGUGAGUUGACGUGGUACGUCAGAUUAUAAAAUUACUUUUAUUAUAAAGUAGAUCUAACAGAUUUCAUUAAGGUACAAUAUCAGUUUGUGAGUUUAUUUUUUUUUUUAAUCUUUUUGUAUCUGUAGCAGUUCUAAUUAAAUAUUGUCAUAUACAUAUACAUCAAAUGGUUGAAGAGCAAGUGGGAGAAAAUAGUAUUUGUAUACCAUAAUUUAUUCUUGUGGAAUAUCCCAUCGUAUUGAGUUUUAUUGAAUUAUGGUCAUUAGAUUCCUGUCAUAUAUGUAGCUAUAGCUAGCUUAAUUUGUAACUAUCUACUCAUUAACUAUGUAGUUAUAUUAUGAAUUAUGAACAUUUAUUUUUAAUCA